GUCUAUCAUACUUUCUGUGAAGAAAUUCCUCCCAAUGUCCAACCUAAACUUCCCCUGGUGCAGCUUAAGAUCAUGUCCUCUAGUCCUAUCACUGCCUGUUAGAAAAGACUAACGCCCACCUGGCUACACCGUCCUCUCAGGGACUUGUAGAGCCUGACAAAAUAGAGAUCUGAAAGGAAGAGGCAAGGCUAAGUCUUCCUGUACUAGGAAGAAAAUAACCCUGUGCAACAAUAAAGGCUGAGAGAUGAUUUAAUGAAUAAACAAACGCCACAACAAAACCAACCAACCAAAGGCAGAAAAGGAGUUGUGAGUGCAGGAGAGGCUCCCCUGAUGCACCCAGCUCAGACUCCCUGAUCAGGGUGGUGUGGCAGUGUCACAGGUGCCCUUUUAGCUCCUUGCCAGGUUGCUCUCUUGCUUGCCAGACCUUUUCCUUCAAAGGUUCCUUGGGUUACAGAACCCUAAACCCUGCUGUGACACCAGCUGUUGACCUGCAGAAUUUGCCUGCUGUCCCUGGGCCUUUCCCCCUAACCAGCAGGAUCCUUUCUCCCUCACCACCAAAAUUCUGGAGUCCUUCUGGAGAUAUGUACGGUCACCUCAGCAGUAUCACCAGUGCCUGCAUGGAUGAGCAGCACAAGGUGACAGCCUGAGGAGAAGACAAGCCUUGGUAAUCCCUCCAUGAAAUCCUGCACCUGAGCACCUGGCAAGGAACAAAACUCAGGUACCAAGCCAGGCUGGCAGAUGGUGCCUCUGUCCUGCACAGGAGUCCCCAGUCAUCGCUUCUCUCCUCCUCUUGGUGCAGGUACUUGGUCCAUGCUCAGCUGGCUCUGGUCAUAGAUCUUGUUUCUUCCUGCCUGUUCCCAGGUAACUGCUGAUCACCCUGUACAGACCUGGGACCUACAGGAGCACAAGAGGAAGGCAAGCUUUUGGAGCACUGAGUCAUGACUAUUCUGGAAGAAGUGUUGCCAGCACUAUGAAAGAUAACUACAGAAAUAAAUAAGCCAACGCAAAAUCAUACUGUUCAAGGUUGGACUUUUAUUUAAGGCAAAAUAUAAUCACAGCUUUAAUUAUUCAUACUAUGGAUAUACACAGUUUGUUCUGCCACUAUGAAGCUUAGUAUUAUCACUGCUUUUAAAAAGCUAUAAAAUCUAUUUUCUAUCAUAAUCUACAAUACAAAACUAAUACAAUAAACACAUUCUGAAAGAUCACAGUGUUUAAAAUAUUAGAAAAGCAGGGGUCCUGCUUUCAAACAAUAAGGUGCAUCUCUAAAGAAUCAAAUCAGCCUUGAUUCUACAGGCCUGUACCACAUCAUGGCUGUGAAUGGCUGUAACACUGAGAAACCAAUCUAGGGUGUGGCACGUACUCAAGGAAUGAACAUCACACACUGGAAUAUAUUGAAUAAUCAAGUGUCACCAACACAAACUAGACAUUAAAUAAUGCCAUUUAAGUUCCCUGUACUUUUUAUUUGUAUUGGUAUUCACGUAUGUUGCAGAGAUAGCGAGAUAAAAUGUGUAUAAAUUGCUAUCAAACAGGGCCCUGCAUAUGCAAACACCUGUGCUUUCCUCAUACUAUGCAAACAAGCCUUACUAAUUCCAUGGGACUGAUGUGUAAAGGAAAGUUUGUAGGCCUGGGGUCUGGAAUGACAGUUUUACCCCUGUUCCACACAUGUGGAAGGAGCUACCUUACAGGCCUGGAAUCAAGCAGAGGUUCACCAUGGACAUCAGCAGGUGGCCUAUCAGGCUCUUAAAA